AUACGGAGGAUCCGAGCGUUAUCCGGAUUUAUUGGGUUUAAAGGGAGCGUAGGUGGACAGUUAAGUCAGUUGUGAAAGUUUGCGGCUCAACCGUAAAAUUGCAGUUGAUACUGGCUGUCUUGAGUACAGUAGAGGUGGGCGGAAUUCGUGGUGUAGCGGUGGAAUGCUUAGAUAUCACGAAGAACUCCGAUUGCGAAGGCAGCUCACUGGACUGCAACUGACACUGAUGCUCGAAAGUGUGGGUAUCAAACAGGAUUAGAUACCCUGGUAGUCCACACAGUAAACGAUGAAUACUCGCUGUUUGCGAUAUACAGUAAGCGGCCAAGCGAAAGCAUUAAGUAUUCCACCUGGGGAGUACGCCGGCAACGGUGAAACUCAAAUGAAUUGGCGGGG
rnacentral:rRNA from 1 species